GAGGAAUGUAGCACAAGGUGGAGAGGAAUGCAGCACAAGGUGGAGAGGAAUGUAGCACAAGGUGGAGAGGAAUGCAGCACAAGGUGGAGAGGAAUGUAGCACAAGGUGGAGAGAAAUGUAGCACAAGGUGGGGACGAAUGUAGCACAAGGUGGAGAGGAAUGCAGCACAAGGUGGAGAGGAAUGUAGCACAAGGUGAAGAGGAAUGUAGCACAAGGUGGAGAGGAAUGUAGCACAAGGUGGAGAGGAAUGUAGCACAAGGUGGAGAGGAAUGUAGCACAAGAUGAAGAGGAAUGUAGCACAACGCACGUGCUUCUAAGAAUAACAUGGACCCCGUGCUUUUUUCUCUGGUUUUCAAAAUAAAAGAGGAAAAAGCUUCGCACUGGAUUCUCAUUUUAACAAUCAUCCUGAUUCCACUGUGUUCUUCCCUGGCAGUAAAUGCUUAGUGUUUCGGUGUAUGAGGGACUGGCUCGUAUCCCUUAGCAAUGGAACACAUACACACAUCUGAACUGUGCUC